rnacentral:rRNA from 1 species
AUGGCAAAGGAAAAUUAUUCUGGUAGGCUUUUCUUUGAAAUCUUCACCAUAACUGCCAGGAAUAUUUGGAAGGAGACAAAUAACUUCAUUUUCAACAAGAUCAGUCCUUCGUAUAGAGCUUGGCUAGAGAGAUCUAAGGCUGUCUUACCUGGCUUAAAUACAGAGUGUCCCCUGAUCUUAGUGAUUACAUCACUUCUUUUGUAA